AUUUAUUGUUGAUUAUUAGAUGCUAGCAUGUACCUGUUAAAAAAAACCAUACACACUACUAUAUAUAUAUAUACACAUCCCAAUACUGCACUCCAAAGAGAAAAUAGCCCACCGGCAAAAUGCAUAGCAACGAUUCUUUACUUUAGGAGACAUAUACCCAUAGCAUUUGCCAAGGAUUAUUAAACACUUGUCUUUAGAAGUUGUAAUGGUUAUACCCCCGUUUAUAGCGGAAAUUUUAGUCCAUGUCCUGUCCUUUUAAAAGAGGCCUCUAUCCUCGUUGUUGGGAACUAUGGUUUGUUUAUAUUUCCAUUUUGUCUUGGUAUCGCAAAGGCUUCUUUUUGUGUGAUAUCUUAAUUUUUCCAAUCGUCCAUUGUCUUGCCU
rnacentral:lncRNA from 1 species